rnacentral:rRNA from 1 species
AGUCGUAACAAGGUUUCCGUAGGUGAACCUGCGGAAGGAUCAUUGUCGAGACCGAAAAAGAGGGAGCGAUCUAGAGAACUCGUAAAGAAAGCGGGAGCCAUCCCAACUGUUGCCGUAUCCCCCCCUUCGGGGGGGGCCGCUCGCGACGAGGAAGGUUGGAUGAAAACUCAAAAUCGGCGCAGUCUCGCGCCAAGGGAAAAUUUGCAAACGUAAGCCCUACAGCGGGCUUAGCGGUGUGGAGUGUUGUUACACGCACCAUACCAUAUGGAGAUCAUAACAUGACUCUCGGCAAUGGAUAUCUCGGCUCUCGCAUCGAUGAAGAGCGCAGCGAAAUGCGAUACAUGGUGCGAAUUGCAGAAUCCCGUGAACCAUCGAGUCUUUGAACGCAAGUUGCGCCUGAGGCCAAUCGGCCGAGGGCACGUCCGCCUGGGCGUCAAGCAUCGCAUCGCUCCAUGCUGACGCCAUCCCAUCGAAGGGUGUGUUGGCGCGAGGCCUGGAUGUGUAGAGUGGCCCGCCGUUCUCCAUCGGUGCGUGCGGCGGGCUGAAGAGCGGGCUUUCGUCUCAUCGGCCACACUUGACGAUGGGUGGAGAAAAGCUAUGAGCAUGACCUACAUCGCCUCGUGCUGGCUGGAGGAAAGCUUAGAGUAUCCUAACUCAAGCGUCGCACUGUUGGCGACGGCUUCGAAUGCGACCCCAGGAUGGGCGGGGCCACCCGUCGAGUUUAAGCAUA